CCUACGUGCGGCAGCAGUGAGGAAUAUUGGUCAAUGGACGAGAGUCUGAACCAGCCAAGUAGCGUGAAGGAUGACUGCCCUAUGGGUUGUAAACUUCUUUUAUAUGUGAAUAAAACAGGGUAUGCAUACCCUCUUGUAUGUACCAUAUGAAUAAGGAUCGGCUAACUCCGUGCCAGCAGCCGCGGUAAUACGGAGGAUCCGAGCGUUAUCCGGAUUUAUUGGGUUUAAAGGGAGCGUAGGUGGAUUGUUAAGUCAGUUGUGAAAGUUUGUGGCUCAACCAUAAAAUUGCCGUUGAAACUGGUUGACUUGAGGAUAUUUGAGGUAGGCGGAAUGCGUGGUGUAGCGGUGAAAUGCAUAGAUAUCACGCAGAACUCCGAUUGCGAAGGCAGCUUACCGGCGCCCAACUGACGCUGAAGCACGAAAGCGUGGGUAUCGAACAGGAUUAGAUACCCGAGUAGUC
rnacentral:rRNA from 1 species